UACGUAGGGUGCAAGCGUUGUCCGGAAUCAUUGGGCGUAAAGCGCGUGUAGGCGGCUCGGUAAGUCUGCUGUGAAAGUCCAGGGCUCAACCCUGGGAUGCCGGUGGAUACUGUCGAGCUCGAGUCCGGAAGAGGCGAGUGGAAUUCCUGGUGUAGCGGUGAAAUGCGCAGAUAUCAGGAGGAACACCGAUGGCGAAGGCAGCUCGCUGGGACGUGACUGACGCUGAGACGCGAAAGCGUGGGGAGCGAACAGG
rnacentral:rRNA from 1 species